GGAAAGGUGCGCCAAAGAAAACGAGGGCAAACUCUAUUGUCGACCAGAUAAAUAGCGAUCGCGAAAUCGUGUGUAGCAACUUCUAAAGGCGUGGUUUGUGUCGAAAAAGAGCGAUGACUUGGGUAAAGCUGUUGCUUCUAUUUUAUGUUUACUGUCAAGCGCUAUGUGAUGAUCAAAUUCCACAAAACAGAACCAAGCGUACAGUGUACCCAAUCUGGAAGCCACCGACGAACAAGGCUUAUGACCUAUGUGGGUUUGAACUGAAAGACAACGCCAUAUGCAAGCUGCCACCGUGGUGUACUGGAGGCAUGGGCAGGUGCUGUCGCUACGAGUGCGUCUGUCAUUCGAGACUGAACCCAUGCGCCUCUGGGAAAUGGACACAGCCUGAAAGAACCACGGCAGUGCCUCCGAAAAUGCCUGGACAGGGAGGGGAAUGCACUAUGAAUUGCGUACGGGAAUGCUUCAAGAAGUGCAAGGGUGGAAAGAAAAAUCCGGAAGAAUGCAUAGACCAUUGUGCUCCCGAUUGCCAGCGUCAAUGUGGUGGCCGAUGAAAGCAACAAUAAAAAUAAUCAGGUCAUCGAC